GGACUACCCGGGUUUCUAAUCCCGUUCGCUCCCCUGGCUUUCGUUCCUCAGCGUCAGAAGACCCCCAGUGAGCCGCCUUCGCCUCCGGUAUUCCUGAUGAUAUCAACGCAUUUCACCGCUCCACCAUCAGUUCUGCUCACCUCUAGGUCCCUCAAGCACAGCAGUUUGGAGCGCAAUUCCUCGGUUGAGCCGAGGGCUUUCACACCCCACUUUCUGCGCCGCCUACGAACUCUUUAAGCCCAGUAAAUCCGAAUAACGUUUGGGCCUCUCGUAUUACCGCGGCUGCUGGCAC
rnacentral:rRNA from 3 species